GUGUCAGCAGCCGCGGUAAUACGUAGGGGGCGAACGUUGCUCGGAAUUAUUGGGCGUAAAGAGUAUGUAGGUGGCUGAACAAGUCCAGGAUGAAAUCCCGAGGCUCAACUUCGGAAUGGUCCUUGAAACUAUUCAGCUUGAGGGUAGUUGAGGAGAAUGGAAUUCCCGGUGGAGCGGUGAAAUGCGUAGAUAUCGGGAGGAACACCAGAGGCGAAGGCGAUUCUCUAAGCUAUUCCUGACACUGAGAUACGAAAGCUAGGGGAGCAAACGGGAUUAGAUACCCCGGUAGUCCUAGCCGUAAACGAUGGACACUAGAUGUUCCCGCGUUUAUGCGGGUGUGUCGAAGCUAACGCGUUAAGUGUCCCGCCUGGGGAGUACGGUCGCAAGGCUGAAACUCAAAUGAAUUGACGGGG
rnacentral:rRNA from 1 species